rnacentral:rRNA from 1 species
UUAUUGGAGAGUUUGAUCCUGGCUCAGGAUGAACGCUGGCGGCGUGCCUAAUACAUGCAAGUCGAGCGAAUGGAUUGAGAGCUUGCUCUCAAGAAGUUAGCGGCGGACGGGUGAGUAACACGUGGGUAACCUGCCCAUAAGACUGGGAUAACUCCGGGAAACCGGGGCUAAUACCGGAUAACAUUUUGAACUGCAUAGUUCGAAAUUGAAAGGCGGCUUCGGCUGUCACUUAUGGAUGGACCCGCGUCGCAUUAGCUAGUUGGUGAGGUAACGGCUCACCAAGGCAACGAUGCGUAGCCGACCUGAGAGGGUGAUCGGCCACACUGGGACU